UGGCUAACUGCAAGUCGAACGAUGAUGCCCAGCUUGCUGGGCGGAUUAGUGGCGAACGGGUGAGUAACACGUGAGUAACCUGCCCUUGACUUCGGGAUAACUCCGGGAAACCGGGGCUAAUACCGGAUAUGAGCCGCCCUCGCAUGGGGGUGGUUGGAAAGUUUUUCGGUCAGGGAUGGGCUCGCGGCCUAUCAGCUUGUUGGUGGGGUGAUGGCCUACCAAGGCGACGACGGGUAGCCGGCCUGAGAGGGCGACCGGCCACACUGGGACUGAGACACGGCCCAGACUCCUACGGGAGGCAGCAGUGGGGAAUAUUGCACAAUGGGCGAAAGCCUGAUGCAGCGACGCCGCGUGAGGGAUGAAGGCCUUCGGGUUGUAAACCUCUUUCAGCAGGGAAGAAGCGCAAGUGACGGUACCUGCAGAAGAAGCGCCGGCUAACUACGUGCCAGCAGCCGCGGUAAUACGUAGGGCGCAAGCGUUGUCCGGAAUUAUUGGGCGUAAAGAGCUCGUAGGCGGUUUGUCGCGUCUGGUGUGAAAACUCGAGGCUCAACCUCGAGCUUGCAUCGGGUACGGGCAGACUAGAGUGCGGUAGGGGAGACUGGAAUUCCUGGUGUAGCGGUGGAAUGCGCAGAUAUCAGGAGGAACACCGAUGGCGAAGGCAGGUCUCUGGGCCGCACCUGACGCUGAGGAGCGAAUGCAUGGUGAGCGAACAGGAUUAGAUACCCUGGUAGUCCAUGCCGUAAACGUUGGGCACUAAGUGUGGGGCUCAUUCCACGAGUUCCGUGCCGCAGCAUACGCA
rnacentral:rRNA from 1 species